UCUCUGUGAUGUUUUGCAAUGGAUCCUACUGAAGCCUAUGCUGUUGAGCAAAGGGCAUUUGAAGAGAUUCUGUGACUGAGAGA